CGGAUGUAGCCAAGUGNAUCAA
rnacentral:tRNA from 1 species